CCUACGGGGUGCUGCAGUAGGGAAUCUUCGUCAAUGGGCGCAAGCCUGAACGAGCAAUGCCGCGUGAACGAGGAAGGUCUUCGGAUCGUAAAGUUCUGUUGAAGGGGAAAAAGAGCGGAGAGAGGAAAUGGUCUCCGAUUGAUAUUACCCUUCGAGGAAGUCACGGCUAACUACGUGCCAGCAGCCGCGGUAAUACGUAGGUGGCGAGCGUUAUCCGGAAUGAUUGGGCGUAAAGGGUGCGUAGGCGGCCUGCUAGGUCUGGAGUGAAAGGUACCGGCUCAACCGGUACAGGCUCUGGAAACUGGCGGGCUAGAGAGCAGGAGAGGGCGGUGGAACUCCAUGUGUAGCGGUAAAAUGCGUAGAUAUAUGGAAGAACACCAGUGGCGAAGGCGGCCGCCUGGCCUGUUACUGACGCUGAGGCACGAAAGCGUGGGGAGCAAAUAGGAUUAGAUACCCCGGUAGUC
rnacentral:rRNA from 1 species